GGUAUAUGGUUUAAAUGAUAAUUAAAAGGGAAUAUGGUGAAAUACCAUUACAGCCCCCGCUACUGUAUGAGGUGACAAUUUUAAUUUUUCACUGGAUUGUUCCGGGAAGGAAAAAAGAGGAUGAGCCGAUAGUCAGGAGACCUGCCUGUACCUGU
rnacentral:ncRNA from 1 species